GCCAGCUUCACCCGAAGCCACUUCAAAGAAUUCUGAGAAAUCCCUUUAUAUCUACGUGAGAUUGUUGCCCUGAGAUUCUUCACAUCGCUCCGGAAUCUGCCAAGAUCUCUUAACAAGGUUCCCUCAGAGGCCACAGGCACGGGGAGUAUUUCUGAGAUUUCUGGAUAAACUGGCAUUCCUGCCCAACUCUUCAAGGAGACCACACCACAGCUCAUUUGCAGAGUGGAGGAGAGCAACAGAUGGUGCCUUGCGCUCAUGGAGGUAGAAGCACCCGCUGUGCAGAAUUCUGAGGCCUGGCGCCAGACGACUGGCGAGGACAUCAGUCCAGUGCAGCCACUUGUCGAUCUGUGACACUGUCCAAGGGAGUUAAUCUCACACACCUUUAAGGAAAACAGUUUAUCACGUUCUUUCCUAUUUGAGGAAAUGAAGCAGAGCAGUGGAGUGCGUAUCCUUGAUCAAACUGGAAGUGAUUCUGGACCCCAUUUACUAUUGAUCCUGUAGGGAAGUUCUCCAAGGAAAGAGACCCACAGGGACGUAUGUAUUAUGCGUGUGUGUGUGUGUGUGAGUGUGUGUGUGAGUGUGUGAGAAUGUGUGUGAGUGUGUGUAUGUGUGUGUGAAUGUGUGUGUGUGAGUGUGUGUGUGUGUGUGAAUGUGUGUGUGAGUGUGUGUGUGAAUGUGUGUGUGAGUGUGUGUGUAUGUGUGUGUGAAUGUGUGUGUGAGUGUGUGUGUAUGUGUGUGUG
rnacentral:lncRNA from 1 species